UUUCCGGCCCGCUAGUAUCGCCGCGGCCUCUGCUGUUAUCGUGCUACCGCGCUCGCUUUCUCUUUUCGCGAGUGUUAUAUUCACUUUUAAAUUGCAAAGAUCAAAAGCGAGCAGACACGAAUGAGCCGCUUUCAAGUCUGGGCAAGCAAACAAGUGCGAGUCUCGAUUUAGGACCGGUGAUUGAUAGCCUCCGGCUCGCCACUAUUCUCCAUUUCAUCGAGCACGGUUUCAUCGAGCACGGCUACACGGGAAUCGGAAGAUCACUUCCUCGGUGCCUCGUCGUACACUGGAUGCACUCCAUACAUGGAAGGAACUGGCCUACUGUGGAUUUGUGGGAAAGAAGGAAAGGCCAGUGAGCAGGCAUUAACGGGGCCAAUGGACCAUAAAAAUGCCCCUCGUAACUUCUACUAAGGAAUGUGCUAUCCUUUUUGACUAUACCAGUCAAGUCGUG